rnacentral:rRNA from 1 species
UACGUAGGGUGCAAGCGUUGUCCGGAAUUAUUGGGCGUAAAGAGCUCGUAGGCGGUUUGUCGCGUCUGCUGUGAAAACUCGGGGCUCAACUCCGAGCUUGCAGUGGGUACGGGCAGACUAGAGUGCGGUAGGGGAGACUGGAAUUCCUGGUGUAGCGGUGGAAUGCGCAGAUAUCAGGAGGAACACCGGAGGCGAAGGCGGCUUGCUGGGCGUAGUCUGACGCUGAGGCGCGAAAGCGUGGGGAGCGAACAGG